GUGGGGAAUUUUGGACAAUGGGCGAAAGCCUGAUCCAGCCAUGCCGCGUGCAGGAUGAAGGCCUUCGGGUUGUAAACUGCUUUUGUACGGAACGAAAAGACUCCUUCUAAUAAAGGGGGUCCAUGACGGUACCGUAAGAAUAAGCACCGGCUAACUACGUGCCAGCAGCCGCGGUAAUACGUAGGGUGCAAGCGUUAAUCGGAAUUACUGGGCGUAAAGCGUGCGCAGGCGGUUAUAUAAGACAGAUGUGAAAUCCCCGGGCUCAACCUGGGAACUGCAUUUGUGACUGUAUAGCUAGAGUACGGUAGAGGGGGAUGGAAUUCCGCGCGUAGCAGUGAAAUGCGUAGAUAUGCGGAGGAACACCGAUGGCGAAGGCAAUCCCCUGGACCUGUACUGACGCUCAUGCACGAAAGCGUGGGGAGCAAACAGGAUUAGAAACCCGUGUAGUCC
rnacentral:rRNA from 1 species